UACGUAGGUGGCAAGCGUUGUCCGGAUUUAUUGGGUUUAAAGGGUGCGUAGGCGGCCCUGUAAGUCAGUGCUGAAAUAUCCCGGCUUAACCGGGAGGGUGGCAUUGAUACUGCGGGGCUAGAGUACAGAUGAGGUAGGCGGAAUUGACGGUGUAGUGGUGAAAUUCGUAGAUAUUCGCAAGAACACCAGUGGCGAAGGCGGCUCACUGGCCCGAUACUGACGCUGAGGUGCGAAAGCGUGGGGAGCAAACAGG
rnacentral:rRNA from 1 species